rnacentral:rRNA from 1 species
GAAUCUGCCUUCAGGACUGGGACAACCACUGGAAACGGUGGCUAAUACCAGAUAUGCAGUGAGUGAAAAGGUUUAUUCCGCCUGAAGAUGAGCUCGCGUCAGAUUAGUUAGUUGGUGAGGUAACGGCUUACCAAGGCAUCGAUCUGUAGCUGGUCUGAGAGGAUGACCAGCCACACUGGGACUGAGAGACGGCCCAGACUCCUACGGGAGGCAGCAGUGAGGAAUUUUCCGCAAUGGGCGCAAGCCUGACGGAGUAAUACCGCGUGCGGGAGGAAGGUCUAUUGACUGUAAACCGCUUUUAUUAAGAAAGAAUUCUGACGGUACUUAAUGAAUAAGCCUCGGCUAACUCCGUGCCAGCAGCCGCGGUAAUACGGAGGAGGCAAGCGUUAUCCGGAAUUAUUGGGCGUAAAGCGUCCGCAGGUGGCGAUUCAAGUCUGCGGUCAAAGCGUCUGGCUCAACCAGAUAAAGGCAGUGGAAACUACAUAGCUAGAGUAAGGUAGGGGUAGAGGGAAUUCCUGGUGUAGCGGUGAAAUGCGUAGAGAUCAGGAAGAACACCGGUGGCGAAAGCGCUCUGCUGGACCUUAACUGACACUGAGGGACGAAAGCUAGGGGAGCG